rnacentral:rRNA from 1 species
AUUGAACGCUGGCGGCAGGCCUAACACAUGCAAGUCGAACGGUAACAGGAAGAAGCUUGCUUCUUUGCUGACGAGUGGCGGGCGGGUGAGUAAUGUCUGGGAAACUGCCUGAUGGAGGGGGAUAACUACUGGAAACGGUAGCUAAUACCGCAUAACGUCGCAAGACCAAAGAGGGGGACCUUCGGGCCUCUUGCCAUCGGAUGUGCCCAGAUGGGAUUAGCUAGUAGGUGGGGUAACGGCUCACCUAGGCGACGAUCCCUAGCUGGUCUGAGAGGAUGACAAGCCACACUGGAACUGAGACACGGUCCAGACUCCUACGGGAGGCAGCAGUGGGGAAUAUUGCACAAUGGGCGCAAGCCUGAUGCAGCCAUGCCGCGUGUAUGAAGAAGGCCUUCGGGUUGUAAAGUACUUUCAGCGGGGAGGAAGGGAGUAAAGUUAAUACCUUUGCUCAUUGACGUUACCCGCAGAAGAAGCACCGGCUAACUCCGUG